UAUUUAUUAUUUUAUUGAUUAAUUUUUAUUUAUUUAAGUUUUUAAUUAAAUUAAUAUUUUAUUUAUUAUAGUGUAUAGAAAUAUAUUUAUGUAAUUAUAGUGAAAAGUACUGUAAGGGUAAUUUAAUAAAUUUAUAGAAGUGUAAUUUAUUUAGUACCUUUUGUAUCAGGGUUUAUUUAUUUAAAUGUAAUUAAUUUACUUUUCCCGAAAUUAAAAGAGAUAAAAUUAUAUGUAAGUUUAUGUGGUAAAAUAAUUUAUCAUUUAAUUUUAGUAAUUAUAUGUUAUUCAUUUUUAAAUAUCUGGUUGCUCAUAGAAUUAAAUUUAAUUUAGGAUUUUUAAUUGGGUUUAUUUAUUAUUUUAUUUAAAUGAAUUUAAAGAUCUAAGGCUGUUAGGGAUUAGCUUGAUAGUUUUAAUUAUAUUAGUUUAAAUAAUUAAUUAUUUGUAGGUUUAGAAAUUUCCGUCUUUUAUUUUGUUAUAAUUAAUUUUAUUAAAUAUUAUUGAUUUUUUUUUAAUUAAUUUAUUAUUGAGUUAUAUAAUUAUAUGUGAAUUUUAUAGUUUUAAUGAUAAAAUAAGUAGAUAUUAAAUUUAAAUUUAGUAACUCGGCAAAUUUUACUUUCGCCUGUUUAACAAAAACAUGUCUUAUAGAUAAUUAAUUUUAAGUCUGACCUGCUCAAUGAAUAUUUUUAAAUUGCUAUAGUAUUUUAACUAUACAAAGGUAGCAUAAUAAUUUGUCUUUUAAUUGAAGGCUUGUAUGAAUGGUUGGACGAGAAGUAGACUUUCUUAAUUUAAUUUAUUAUUGAAUUUAAAAUUUUUGUAAAAAUACUUAAAUGUAGCUGUGGGACGAGAAGACCCUAUAGAAUUUAAAUAUCUUUUUAAAAGGGUUAAUAUAGUUAAAUAGUUAAUAUUUUUAAAAAGAUAUUUUUGUUGGGGUGAUAGUGGAAUAUUAUAAACUUCUAUUUUUAGGGUUUCAUUAAUUGGUGUUUGAUUGAUCCUUUUUUAUUGAUUAAAAGUAUAAAUUACCUUAGGGAUAACAGCGUUAUUAUAUCGGAGAGUUCUUAUUGAUGAUGUAGUUUGCGACCUCGAUGUUGGAUUAAAGUUAAUUUUAGGUGCAGGAGCUUAAAUGAUUAGGUCUGUUCGACCUUUAAAUCUUUACAUGAUCUGAGUUCAAACCGGCGUAAGCCAGGUUGGUUUCUAUCUACAGUUUAUUUAUUGUAAUAUAGUACGAAAGGACCUAUUACUUUUAAUAAUUAAUUAGUAAUGAAUAUUAUUA
rnacentral:rRNA from 1 species